CCUACGGGAGGCAGCAGUAAGGAAUAUUGGACAAUGGGCGAGAGCCUGAUCCAGCCAUGCCGCGUGCAGGAAGAAGGACCUAUGGUUUGUAAACUGCUUUUGAAUGGGAGAAAACCUGGGUACGUGUACCCAGCUGAUAGUACCAUUAGAAUAAGCAUCGGCUAACUUCGUGCCAGCAGCCGCGGUAAGACGAAGGAUGCAAGCGUUAUCCGGAUUCAUUGGGUUUAAAGGGAGCGUAGGCGGAUAGAUAAGUCAGUGGUGAAAUCUCUGGGCUUAACCCAGAAACUGCCAUUGAUACUGUUUAUCUAGAGUACAUUUGCUGUGGGCGGAAUAUGACAUGUAGUGGUGAAAUACUUAGAUAUGUCAUAGAACACCGAUUGCGAAGGCAGCUCACAAAAAUGUAACUGACGCUGAGGCUCGAAAGUGCGGGGAUCAAACAGGAUUAGAUACCCCUGGUAGUCCGCACUAGUAACGAAUAGAUUACUCGUCUGUCGUUGGUAGGCGAACUACUGAGUGGUCGUUAGUACGAAACGGACGAAGUAAGUUAAAGUACCACCCGUACGGGGUAGGGUACGGACCCGGCCGAACCGGUACGGAAACGUACGAAACGGAAAGUUAGUACGGGACGGUUGAGGACGNGCCGACGGGACGACCGACGAGGGGAGGGUAGGGAG
rnacentral:rRNA from 1 species